GGUCUGUCGCGUCUGCUGUGAAAACCCGAGGCUCAACCUCGGGCCUGCAGUCGAUACGGGCAGACUAGAGUUCGGUAGGGGAGACUGGAAUUCCUGGUGUAGCGGUGAAAUGCGCAGAUAUCAGGAGGAACACCGGUGGCGAAGGCGGGUCUCUGGGCCGAAACUGACGCUGAGGAGCGAAAGCGUGGGGAGCGAACAGGAUUAGAUACCCUGGUAGUCCACGCCGUAAACGUUGGGCGCUAGGUGUGGGUUUCCUUCCACGGGAUCCGUGCCGCAGCUAACGCAUUAAGCGCCCCGCCUGGGGAGUACGGCCGCAAGGCUAAAACUCAAAGGAAUUGACGGGGGCCCGCACAAGCGGCGGAGCAUGUGGCUUAAUUCGACGCAACGCGAAGAACCUUACCAAGGCUUGACAUGCAGGGAAAUCCGGCAGAGACGUCGGGUCCGCAAGGGUCCUGCACAGGUGGUGCAUGGUUGUCGUCAGCUCGUGUCGUGAGAUGUUGGGUUAAGUCCCGCAACGAGCGCAACCCUCGUUCUAUGUUGCCAGCGGGUAAUGCCGGGGACUCAUAGGAGACUGCCGGGGUCAACUCGGAGGAAGGUGGGGAUGACGUCAAAUCAUCAUGCCCCUUAUGUCUUGGGCUGCACACAUGCUACAAUGGCCGGUACAAAGGGCUGCGAAACCGCAAGGUAGAGCGAAUCCCAAAAAGCCGGUCUCAGUUCGGAUUGGGGUCUGCAACUCGACCCCAUGAAGU
rnacentral:rRNA from 1 species